rnacentral:rRNA from 1 species
CCUACGGGAGGCAGCAGUGAGGAAUAUUGGUCAAUGGCCGUAAGGCUGAACCAGCCACGUCGCGUGAAGGAAGAAGGAUCUAUGGUUUUUAAACUUCUUUUAUAGGGGAAUAAAGGUAUCCACGUGCGGAUUUUUGCAUGUACCCUAUGAAUAAGCAUCCGCUAACUCCGUGCCAGCAGCCGCGGUAAUACGGAGGAUGUGAGCGUUAUCCGGAUUUAUUGGGUUUAAAGGGUGCGUAGGUUGUUUUUUAAGUCAGCAGUGAAAGUUUGUGGCUCAACCAUAAAAUUGCCGUUGAAACUGGAAGACUUGAGUGUGUUUGAGGUAGGCGGAAUGCGUGGUGUAGCGGUGAAAUGCAUAGAUAUCACGAAGAACUCCGAUUGCGAAGGCAGCCUACUAGACCAUAACUGACACUGAAGCACGAAAGCGUGGGGAUCAAACAGGAUUAGAUACCCUAGUAGUC